rnacentral:rRNA from 1 species
AGAGUUUGAUCAUGGCUCAGGAUGAACGCUAGCGGCAGGCUUAACACAUGCAAGUCGAGGGGUAGAGGUUGCUUGCAACCUUGAGACCGGCGCACGGGUGCGUAACGCGUAUGCAACCUACCUUUUACAGAGGGAUAGCCCAGAGAAAUUUGGAUUAAUACCUCAUAGUAUAUAUCUUUCGCAUGUUAGGUAUAUUAAAGUUCCAACGGUAAAAGAUGGGCAUGCGUCCUAUUAGCUAGAUGGUAAGGUAACGGCUUACCAUGGCUACGAUAGGUAGGGGUCCUGAGAGGGAGAUCCCCCACACUGGUACUGAGACACGGACCAGACUCCUACGGGAGGCAGCAGUGAGGAAUAUUGGACAAUGGGCGCAAGCCUGAUCCAGCCAUGCCGCGUGCAGGAAGAAGCAUCUAUGGUGUGUAAACUGCUUUUGUACAGGAAGAAACAUCCCGACGUGUCGGGACUUGACGGUACUGUAAGAAUAAGGAUCGGCUAACUCCGUGCCAGCAGCCGCGGUAAUACGGAGGAUCCAAGCGUUAUCCGGAAUCAUUGGGUUUAAAGGGUCCGUAGGCGGUUUGGUAAGUCAGUGGUGAAAGCCCGCAGCUCAACUGUGGAACGGCCAUUGAUACUGCCAGACUUGAAUUACAAGGAAGUAACUAGAAUAUGUAGUGUAGCGGUGAAAUGCUUAGAUAUUACAUGGAAUACCAAUUGCGAAGGCAGGUUACUACUUGUGGAUUGACGCUGAUGGACGAAAGCGUGGGGAGCGAACAGGAUUAGAUACCCUGGUAGUCCAA